AAUCGUUGAUCAGAAGUCUUCUAGACCUGAGUUGUAAUCGUUGAUCAGAAGUCUUCUAGACCUGAGUUGUAAUCGUUGAUCAGAAGUCUUCUAGACCUGAGUUGUAAUCGUUGAUCAGAAGUCUUCUAGGUCUGAGUUGUAAUCGUUGAUCAGAAGUCUUCUAGACCUGAGUUGUAAUCGUUGAUCAGAAGUCUUCUAGACCUGAGUUGUAAUCGUUGAUCAGAAGUCUUCUAGACCUGAGUUGUAAUCGUUGAUC